rnacentral:rRNA from 1 species
UACGUAGGGCGCAAGCGUUGUCCGGAAUUAUUGGGCGUAAAGAGCUCGUAGGCGGUCUGGUACGUCCGCUGUGAAAACCCAGGGCUUAACCCUGGGCUUGCAGUGGAUACGGGUAGACUAGAGGCAGGUAGGGGAGAAUGGAAUUCCCGGUGUAGCGGUGAAAUGCGCAGAUAUCGGGAGGAACACCGGUGGCGAAGGCGGUUCUCUGGGCCUGACCUGACGCUGAGGAGCGAGAGCGUGGGGAGCGAACAGG